AGCAGUGGGGAAUAUUGGACAAUGGGCGAAAGCCUGAUCCAGCCAUGCCGCGUGUGUGAAGAAGGUCUUCGGAUUGUAAAGCACUUUAAGUUGGGAGGAAGGGCAGUAAAUUAAUACUUUGCUGUUUUGACGUUACCGACAGAAUAAGCACCGGCUAACUCUGUGCCAGCAGCCGCGGUAAUACAGAGGGUGCAAGCGUUAAUCGGAAUUACUGGGCGUAAAGCGCGCGUAGGUGGUUCGUUAAGUUGGAUGUGAAAUCCCCGGGCUCAACCUGGGAACUGCAUUCAAAACUGACGAGCUAGAGUAUGGUAGAGGGUGGUGGAAUUUCCUGUGUAGCGGUGAAAUGCGUAGAUAUAGGAAGGAACACCAGUGGCGAAGGCGACCACCUGGGCUCAUACUGACACUGAGG
rnacentral:rRNA from 1 species